GGAGAGAAUAAGGAGAAGUAGAAGCAGAAGCAGCAAGAGAAGAAGAAGAAGAAGAAGAAGAAGUAGAAGACUGGUACUCGCCUUGGUCCCGGAGAUAUUCGCCGACUAAUUGAAUUUACGAGCUCGCCGAGCAACCGACGUGGGUCGUGCCGGUCUUUGAACCAGAUUCAGUGUCGGUACACCGCCAUUAGUGGCCGCUCCUCCUGAUUCCUCCAGUAUUCCACAACGAUAAUCGUAAGCUUAGAAGAUUAUUUCAAAAUGACCAAAUGGACCAAAUGGACCAAAUGGACCCAUUCAGGGUGGUUUUCAUCCAUUUAUUUCACCAAACAUAGAAGUUGAUUAUGAGAUGCUCACGUAAGAUUCCUUCGAUGGAUCGAUUCUGGGCCAUUCAUCGAGUUCUCCAACUUCUCGAUGCUGGUGACCUUGACUUGUAGGCGUCGGGACGCUAAGAGGUUUACCUUGGUAAACCCUGGUAUCUCGGGAUACCAGUCGGGGUCUCGGUCGAGGGAUUAGGACAGGGUUGUUGAGCGAGACGGCAGAGGGCUGCUGGUAUCAGCGGAAGAGGGACAGAGUAACGAAGAAGAAAAAGAAAAAGAGACCACUGUAACCGUACGCUCGUAUAAUUGAUUGAGUCUAAUGAGUUAAAGGGGAUACCACGGUAGUACGGGACGGUGAAAUUAAAGAGUUCUGGGUCAUGAAGGCGACCACCCCUCCGGGACAGAGAAAGUGCGGAAACUUAGGUGCGCGCUCCUCUUCGGCUUCCUCUGUUCUCCUUCGACCCUUGCGAGUCGGCCACGAGGGCGCUGAUUGUAAAUUAGUUAAAGGAGAUGCCUCAUUAGGAUCAGCUGAUUCUUUGGAUUUUAACUGGGAUUGAAUGAGAUGGUUUGAGAAAAAGAUUCCUUAAAGGGUGCUCUUUUAUAGAGGGUUGAAAUGAAUUCUUCUU